GACGAACGCUGGCGGCGUGCUUAACACAUGCAAGUCGCACGAAGUGGCGAACGGGUGAGUAACGCGUAAUCAACCUGCCCUUCAGAGGGGGACAACAGUUGGAACAGACUGCUAAUACCGCAUACUGAAGGAGGGGAUUGCGUCUGAUGAGCUAGUUGGAGGGGAAACGGCACACAAUGGCGAUGAUCAGGAGCCGGUCUGAGAGGAAGAACGGACACAUGGGGACUGUGACACGGCCCAGACGCCUACGGGAGGCAGCCGUGGGGAAUCUUCCGAAAUGGACGAAAGUCUGACGGAGCAACGCCGCGUGAGUGAUGACGGCCUUCGGGUUGUAAAGCUCUGUUAAUCGGGACGCGGUACCGGAAUAGAAAGCCACGGCUAACUACGUGCCAGCAGCCGCGGUAAUAC
rnacentral:rRNA from 1 species